rnacentral:rRNA from 1 species
CCUACGGGUGGCAGCAGUGAGGAAUAUUGGUCAAUGGACGAGAGUCUGAACCAGCCAAGUAGCGUGAAGGAUGACUGCCCUAUGGGUUGUAAACUUCUUUUAUAAAGGAAUAAAACGAGGCACGUGUGCCUUUUUGUAUGUACUUUAUGAAUAAGGAUCGGCUAACUCCGUGCCAGCAGCCGCGGUAAUACGGAGGAUCCGAGCGUUAUCCGGAUUUAUUGGGUUUAAAGGGAGCGUAGAUGGCUUGUUAAGUCAGUUGUGAAAGUUUGCGGCUCAACCGUAAAAUUGCAGUUGAUACUGGCAGUCUUGAGUACAGUUGAGGUAGGCGGAAUUCGUGGUGUAGCGGUGAAAUGCUUAGAUAUCACGAAGAACCCCGAUUGCGAAGGCAGCUUACUAAACUGUGACUGACAUUGAUGCUCGAAAGUGUGGGUAUCAAACAGGAUUAGAUACCCGGGUAGUC